UCUCUCAAUAAUAAUAAUGCCAAAAGUUGCAAUACAAUGAAUACUAAUGAGUAUUUAUACUAAAACCCUAAGAUAUGGUAAAAAUGUGCAUAAUCUCCAAAAUAUGCUAAAAUUAUGGAAAGAAAUAAAUUUUAUCAAAAAAAGGAAAAUCGUGAAAUUUGGAACAAUCCUCCCCUAAAUAGACCCAUGCAGUCGCAUGGUUCAAUUCCAUGCGACCGUAUGGAACAACCAAGUUCAGCCGAUUAACACCCUACCUCUAUCUGUGCGAGCACAAGAGGUAGAGAACUAUGCGGUACCAUGGUUCUUCACUUCGGCUCCGUUUUCGUCCACUUUUAACACAUUGCUUCUUCGGUCUUCGAUCCCAUCAUAAAACUUGCUCCAUUUUAAAUCUUGAACAUGGUGUCAUCAACAGUUGCCUUGACGAGCAAUCACAACGCCUCUUUCACUCACUUCGCCCUCAAUCGCGUCAUCGGUCCACUAUCGACUAUCAAUGGAUAGUUUCCCGGGCUUGACAUUGGACUUGACUUCAACGCUUGCGUGUCCUAGAUCACAUCAUCCCCUCCCUCUUCAAAAAGAUUCAUCCUCGAAUCUAAACCUGCAUCAAAGAGAAAAAGAUCGGACACAUCAAAAGUUGCUGAAACGUUAUACUCAACUGGAAGAUCUAAUUUGUAUGCAUUGUCAUUGAUCUUCUCAAGCACUUGAAAUAGUCCAUCUCCCCUUGGCUGCAACUUUGAUUUUCUCUGUUCUGGGAAUCGCUCUUUCCGAAAGUACACCCAAACCCAAUCUUCUAGUUAGAAGGUAACAAUCUUCCUGCCCUUAUUUGCUUACUCGGCGUAAUGCUUGCUCUUCUUCUCAAUUUGCUCCCGUACCUUUUCAUUGAGUGAUUUCACCAACUCUGCCUUCCUCUUCCCAUCCAAGCUAUCUCGUUCAUUCACAAGCAAAUGUAUUAAAUCCAUAGGUGUUAUUGGAUUAAAACCAUAAACAAUUUCAAAUGGAGAAAACAACGUAGUGGGAGUGUGUG
rnacentral:lncRNA from 1 species